UUACUGUUAUAAUGAGAGAAAAAAUACCCCUAUUUUUUUAAUUUUUUUUUUUAAAUUAACUGUAAUCUUAUUUAUUGGCCUGUUAAUGGAACCCUUCUUGUCCCCUUUUAAGAUAAGAAAAUAUGUUUACGAUUUUCGGGAUUACGAUCAUUUUGCAAGAUCACCAAAAUACGUUGUAAUUUAUACAAAUUGAAUACUUAUAUAAAGUAGAUGAUGUGGUAUGUUUGUUGUAAAUGGACAAAUUUCCAUAAGAAACCAAAGGAAGUGUGUGUUAACAACCAUACGUCAUCG
rnacentral:lncRNA from 1 species